AGAUUCUGCUGAGGGCACAACUUAAGAUUUUGGACUCAAGUUUGGACACAAGUGUCCUUCAUCGUAAAAAGCCUGUUGUUGAAGAAGAGCGUUCGGAUCUCAGCAAUGUUCCUGAUUCCACUAUCACGUGAGGGUGGAUACAUGGCACCAGUCAAAACAGUUGGAUCAGCCCAUGAAGAGCACAGACAC